GUCAAACUGCAGCUGAUCGUGCUUUAACAGCCCGAUUCUCCUCCUCCGAGGGCCCGGAUGAAUGCAACAUCCAGGCUGCAGAUUUUCUAGCCACAUUGUGUGAUGGUAACUGGACGGUGCUCCUGGAAGCGGAUAGGCAGGAUCUGAGCCAUGGUGCUUUCUUGAGCUUCUCCGGAGUCCUGAAAUUCUACCCGCACAGCUAGCUAGCUAGGCAGUUAGCACCGCGCUAGCUACGACCUCUUCACUGAGAGUGUAGGUCGGAGCCAGUCAGUGAAAACGGCUACACGGUGAGGAAAAAAAUCAAUAUCACGUGUUUUUAGUUGUGUUUCCGAAAUCUGAUACUCGUGAAAAUGUUAAAUUUGUCUUCCUUUUGUGUAUGCUUUCUGCACAGCAUCGAUGGAUAGCGGCGGCUACGGCUGAUCUUCUCUCUGAAAUCCGCAAUGGCGGCGGAAACGGCUCAGUGUUUCCUCUCUGGAAGCAUCCAGGGAGCUCUGGAAGGACACUGGCUCUACCCUGCGCGAGCAAUGUCUGCUUUUCACAAUUUUUUUUAUUUCUGACUUUAUCAACUUUUACUCCAUGAAGCACUGUUGUGCUUCAGUUAUGUGCGUCGGUUCAAAAAAUAUUUUUACUGCAGCUCAAAUCAUGCCUUAAGCGUUUUAUUUAGAGUAGAAACCUUUUUUUUAAAGUUUAGAUAAUUCAGGCAAGACAAAUAAAAAACAGCAUUUAACUUGA